GACAGAGGUGCCGAGCGUUAGGCGGAAUCACUGGGCUUAAAGCGUGUGUAGGCGGACCCGUAAGUACCUUGUGAAAUCCCACGGCUCAACCGUGGAACGGCUGGGUAUACUGCGGGUCUUGAGCGGCCUAGGGGCAGACGGAACAAGUGGUGGAGCGGUGAAAUGCGUAGAUAUCACUUGGAACGCCGACGGUGAAAACAGUCUGCUGGGGGCCUGCUGACGCUGAGACACGGAAGCCAGGGGAGCGAACGGG
rnacentral:rRNA from 1 species